GCCUACGGCCAUACCACGUUGAACACACCGGUUCUCGUCCGAUCACCGAAGUUAAACAACGUCGGGCCUGGUUAGUACUUGGAUGGGUGACCGCCUGGGAACACCGGGUGCUGUAGGCG
rnacentral:rRNA from 1 species